GCUCCCAUGGCAACCCAAGAGUCCGCACAAUCCGGCAGGUCUCGGAGCUCGCUGGCGUCCUGAUUUUAAGCAGGCCCCAAACGCUGAGCCCACGACGCUGGGGCUGUCGAGCCACGAUGCCCAGUGAAACUCUCUGGGAAAUCGCAAAAGCCGAAGUGGAAAAACGAAGUAGUGGAAGUGAAGGUGAUGGACUUGAAAUUGGAGAAAAAUCUGUUUUCUUCAUUGGAAGUAAAAAUGGGGGAAAGACUACUAUUAUUCUAAGGUGUCUUGACAGGGAUGAGCCACCAAAACCAACCUUAGCUUUGGAAUAUACAUACGGAAGAAGAGCAAAAGGGCAUAAUAUACCAAAAGACAUUGCUCACUUUUGGGAACUAGGUGGAGGAACCUCCUUAUUGGACUUAAUCAGCAUACCAAUCACAAGUGAUACCUUACGGACAUUUUCUAUUGUUCUUGUUUUGGAUCUUUCAAGACCUAAUGACCUCUGGCCCACUAUGGAAAAUCUGUUGCAAGCCACAAAAAGCCAUGUAGAUAAAAUGAUAAUGAAACUGGGGAAGACAAAUUCUAAAGCAGCGUCUGAAAUGAGACAGAAGAUACGGAGUAAUAUGCAGAAGGACCAUCCAGAUCGUGAAUUAGUCGACCCAUUUCUAAUACCUCUGGUCAUAAUUGGAAGUAAAUACGAUAUUUUUCAGGAUUUUGACUCUGAGAAGAGAAAGGUUAUAUGCAAGACCCUUCGAUUUGUUGCACAUUAUUAUGGAGCAUCAUUAAUGUUUACCAGCAAAUCAGAAGCUCUAUUACUAAAAAUACGUGGAGUUAUCAACCAGUUAGCAUUUGGUAUUGACAAAAGCAAAUCAAUAUGUGUGGAUCAGAAUAAACCACUGUUUAUCACAGCAGGAUUGGAUUCUUUAAGUCAAAUAGGAUCUCCUCCUGUUCCUGAUAAUGACAUUGGAAAGCUUCAUGCCCAUUCACCAAUGGAGUUGUGGAAGAAAGUGUAUGAAAGGGUCUUUCCACCAAAGAGUAUCAACAUGCUAAAAGAUAUCAAGGACCCUGCAAGAGACCCUCAGUAUGCUGAAAGUGAAGUUGACGAAAUGAGAAUUCAGAAGGAUCAGGAACUGGAACAAUACAAAAGAAGUUCUUCCAAGUCUUGGAAACAAAUUGAGUUUGAUUCUUGAACCUAAUUCAACUAUAGUGUAUUUAUUUCUUCUUUCCCAAAUACAAGUAAGUUUAUUUUAUUAAUUAGCUAUAAUGGUAAUAAGUGAAGGAAGCUAAGAUGUGUAAUUUGUUGAAGGAAAAGUGGCAUUUGUUGUAUUAGUGCAACUCUCUGGAUACUUUUAAGUCUUUUAAAAGGGAAAAAAGUUGUGAGAUUACAUGCAGUAUUUUUUAAAAUAAAAAGAAUACUCUACCUUUCUCUAAUAAGUUUAACUAGUGUAUACUCAGUUCAGCAUUUAUAAGUUUCUGCUUAUAUCAUUUCAGGACUAUGAAAGCAAGAGCCUCUAGUAACAGUUACCAGUGUGAGUUUAAGCAUUUAUAUUAGACAAAUUCCUUCUCGAAGGAGUUCUUGGGAUGACAAGAACUGGGAUAAAGGCAUACAAAGUCAGGAAGUUUGUUGUGAAUCUGGAUGUUGCACCCGGGCAGAUUAUCUCAAUGAACUGAAUUCCUUGAGUGAAGGCACACAUUGGAUUAGUUGUCACAGAACCAUCUGAGCUACCUGCAGGGAAAAGAUGGACAGUAUCAGAUAUGAUGCUUCCCAGAACAAUGAAUCCCCUUUUUCUACAAACCAAAUAUACAAAAUAGUGCCAGACUGACUGGAACAGUGUGAAGACAUUUUACUGAACAAAUGGUAAACAGAUCUAAAUAAUGAUAAGCAAGCACUAGAAACACUCCAGACCAUAAGGAGCACCUGCUCAUGAAUCCCACGGCCUGAAGAAAGACAGCAUCCCAAGCACUGCCUGAAGUUCUCUUUGGACGACAAGCUGGGCACCACUGCACUACUAGAGUCACAGAAUACCAGGUACUACCCCCAUCUUAGGGGAAAGCCAUGGGAAUUAGGGAAGCUACAUCUCCCUAUGAUGACAGAUCAUGCAGAUAAGUACAUGUUUUCGGAUUUAUAUUUUUGAAAAGCUCUAAGAAACAAAAAGCAGCACUGUCUAUACACCAUCGCUCAAAACCUAAGAGCAUCAGGGAUGCUUCGUGGUGCCCCAGUGCCUCUUCCCGCAGCCCCUCUCCCGUUGCUCAAGCCCCCUCACGCCAGCCCGUGAUGUCACAGGCGGGUUGCCGCUCCAGCUGACAGGAGCCCAGGAGCCAUGCUUCAUUGAGAUUCGGCAGCUCCUUGCUGCCUCUGCACCUGGAUCCCAACGACUUCAGGGCAAUCUUCCCUGCCCAGACCCUGCAGAGUAUGUGAGACAUGCCAGUCCCUGGCACCAUGUAGUCCUGCGGGUCUGCUCUCAGGUCCCAUGUGGCCCUGGCUGGGUUCUUUUAUUUGUCCGGAAGCACAGGACAUUGUACUGGGCAUUGAUGGGCAAAGACAGACCUCGAGGGCCAAGAAGAGGGAGUUGUUCACCCUGGAGCUCCCCUCCAUCAGUCCCACUGGCCAUCUGGAACUUGCCAGGAGGACUGAACACCUCUGAACACCCCCUUACCAGUAGCACACGCUGCUGAAUAUCACGGUGGCAAGGACAGUGAAGGGGAGCACGUGCAGCACGUGGGCCAGCAGCAUCUGCCACUUCUGGUGUAAGGUGUCUUGGCUCUCCUGGUCGCUGAGAACCGGGCACAGAGGCAGGUUUCAGAAUAGCCGGUCACCACACAGCUAAGGGAAGGAGGGCUAGCCCAAACUGAACUUGAGUUCUGUCAGGGCUGGGUGGUGGGGACCAGCUGGGGCUCCCUAGUCAUGGAAAGAGGGAACCUGCUAUCCAUAGAACUGUAAAUACUUCCCACCACAGAACUCUUUAUCUGAAUUACAGUAUGGUUGCAAAAGCUGUCAAAAUUUAUUUCCUCCUCUCUAAAGUCAGGGGAGCGUUGUCACAAAUUAAAGAACACAUGUGCAAAAGGGCCAUGAAUGAUGUGAGGUAGUUUGUCCUCUUUUUGUGCAGGGUCUUGGCACAGAACAUCAGGCAACUAGGUAUUGCUUCUGGAUUCUCACAGAGUUUGAAAAUUAGGUGCUAGCUGUCCUAAAAUUGGCUCCAAAAAGAAUAGUGCAAAGUUGGCAGGUAUCUGGGCCCCCAGGGGCUGCACAUCCUAAUGGCGAAGAUAGGAAUACCAAGAAUGAUCUUUUAAAAAACCCUUCCCAAACCCUGCCCCAUCAGCAGCUCCUAAGUCCAUGUUUCCCUGGAUCCUUAGACCCUCAGGGAGAUCUACUUGGUGAACUAAUUCACACUAAGAUGUUAGUAACUCAGUAGUUAACCCUUCCCCAGGGAGAGAAUCUGGAGAAGGCCAAGUUUAGCUCAGCAAAGUAGUCUUAUAAUGAUGGAGUCUUGCAAGAUGCCGGCUGGAGAAGGGAGAUAAUCAGGAAGAGAGGAAGUGCCCUCCCCGCCCCCGGGGUGCACCUCCUGGGCAUGGGCACUCACACAGAUUCACAGCGUUGAGCAUGCCUGUGUAUGGGGUGGCACCCACAAGCUGGUAUAGGAGCCCCACGCAGUCCUGGACAGCACCCUUCAGCACAUCGUUCUGGACCCACAGAAGACAGAAGAUGAGGAACAAACCCAUGAUCAGAUUCUGAACGAGACGCAUCAUCACCGCCAGCUUAUUUCUCAUUAAGUUCCUUGUCACUCUCCUGAAAGCCAAACAACCCUGUUUUAAUUCUUUUUCUUUUAUUGGUGGAUGUCUAACCACCUAAAACGGGGUGAAGCUCUUACCUUAAGAGAACACCUAGUUUAGAGAGAGCUCCAGGAGAAUCUUUGGUUUUGAAAGGAACCAUUGGUAAUGUUUUCAGGUGUUUUGUUCUUUCAAUAUUCUCCCAAGGUUUUGCGAUAAAUUGCUGAUUCUUUGUAGGCAGAUUCAAUCAUCUGAACUCUCUUGUAGGUUUCUAUUUCCCGUUCUUUGCUUUGGGUAUCCACUGAUAUCAGGUCCACUAAUUUUUUUUCCCCAAAGAAAUGACCCAUGUGUUUUUAAAUGCAUAUAUAUGCACAAUGGCUAAUAAUACAUGUUUCAUCAUUGAUUCAGGAGUACUAGCUAAUGCCUCAUGCCAUCAGAGUAACACCUGGUGAUCAUGCCCACCUAUAAAAUCAGAAUAUUUUAAAGCUACCAGCAAGGCCUUGAGAAUUCAACUGGGGCUGUCUGGGAGGAUUUAGAAACUCAGCUGAUUUUUCUCUGACAAAGUGGACAUGCAGCAAUUUAAGAGAGGUCCCCCACCUCAUUCUGAUAGGUCAUCUAUGGCAAGUUAACUGACCCGGCCAAAUUAACUCCUUAAAGAGUGAAAUCACCAAAACAAAAGCAAGAAUAAAAUCCACUAGUGCUGUUGACAUCUAGGCAGAAAUCUGAGAUGAUAAAAUUGAAUGAACAUUCAUGAUGGGAAAUGUGGGAAAAAAAACUUACUAUAAAUGUCAAAAGGGUUUGAAUGUUCGGGACAAGGGUAACUGCAGCCACUGAAGAAAUCAAGCAUUUCCGCUCGUGUUCCACAGAAAACCAGCUCUCCGUAGCUCAGAAUGGCAAUUUUAUCAAAGAGCUGAUGAGAAAAUCGAUGGCAUUAGUGUGUAUCAGGUCACCAUAUCCUCUGGAGAAUAAAUUUCCAAGCCGUCAGUCCCUGUUGAUCCCAGCCAUGCAUCAGGAUUCUUACUGUGGCCACUGGAGACACACAGAGCAUGUCCCUAUUUUUCUUAGCCUGCGUUGCCAGUGUGCAUCGUGCUGCAUCUGGCCUGGGCCCAGCAUCACAUCUGGAGUGGAAAAGAACUCCUGGACCUGGCCUGUGGUCCUGGGUUUGAUCAAGGACCAGCCAUGCUCCUGAGUGAAUGACCUUGGACUAGAUGUUUAUUUAAUCUCAGAUCCUUGACUCAAUUUUGCAUCAUUUCUAAGUCUCCCUCUUUUCUGUAAAGUGACAAUACUGAUACCCACCUCAUAGGAUUGUCGUGUGGACUAAAUGAACUAGUGCAUAGAAAGUAUUUGGUACAUGGCAGGUGCCCUUCCCAUAUCAGGACCUAUUGGCCCCAAGGGCCCUGGUUGACAAGUACUAAUCUCUACCGCACGAUCCCCAGCUCAACACAUACAUCUACCCACCCUUGACGAGUUAAGCAGGAACAAGAUUCCCCCUCACCUGGAAGAGCUCGGAGCGUGGCUGAUGGAUGGUGACAAUCACAACGCGGUCCCUGUGAGCCAGCUCUGCCAGGAGGACAACGAUCUGAUUUGCUGUCAUGCAGUCCAGGCCUGUGGUAGGCUCAUCAAACAGCAUGACCUCUGCAGGCAAGGAAGGGUCGGGUUUCUGAGUCACUGACAAGACUGGGCUACGGACUCUAAACUCAGAAUUUUGAACAGUUCCUUAUGGAGAUGUCUUAACCCAUCCCAUCUUGCCCUAUCCAAACAGUGCACCGUGAGAAGUACCUGCAUGUAAACUGGCUUUCAGCCGGAGCCCAAGCGAAGGAGCCUGACCUCAGAGGACCCACCUCCCAGUUCCAGACCACAUCUUGGCCUUAAUCCUUGAGGGGAGAGGGCUGCUACAAGAUACUAUGGACUGUUUGGGCUCUGCCCAGAGGACCAUGACAAAGAACAAGGGCUGGCUAGUGGGCACCAAGUUGUUUUCAAAAGGCUGAGAAGAGGCUGGUUAAAAAGACAUAACCUCACUUCAUGUGGAGCAUUUUCCAACACUAACAGGGUCUUUGCACGGCAAAAAACUCUGUCCCAUAAAACAGUCUGAGCUGGGAUAGGCAUUUAGAUUCUUUAGAGGGUUCAACUGUGGUUAUUUCUACCCAGAAGGUGAGAAGGGCUCUUAAGAGCAUCUCUCUUGCCUUCUAGUGACCAACCACCAUCUGAAGAGCAGGCCGUCGUAGUGUGCCCCAGUGGGGAAUCCAGGUGCAGCACGUUCUUUUCCAGGUGCUUGUAAGAGCUGAGAUUUCCCCAGUGGUGGGGAGAACGACCAAACCCGGCAGGAGAGGCAGGUGACUGGCUACCCCAUCUUGAUAGCUCCUCCCUCCAAAAUACACACUUUUUUGUGUAUCAUUCAAAGUCCUGCUUUAAUUCCUGCCAUUUCUUAAAGUUCUAGGCACACCAAAACUCAUUGGCUUUCCAUAGCCCCCACAAUGCAGUGUUUCCAAGUCCAAGAGCUGUUUUGUACUUGGAGAGAAAAGCAUCAGGAACUAUGUAGUAUUUCCAAAGAAACUGGGUCCCCAGUUUGAAAAACCUCAGUAAUGUCAGUUCCACACAAACCCCUUUCCAAAUGGAGACUGUAAAAAAAAAAAAAGGACGGAAAAUGUCUGCAGACACAUGGAAGAUGCCCAGGUAGCAGUUCUGGGACCCACUUACUGGGAUCCUGGAGGAGCUGGGCUGCGAUGGAGACCCGGCGCCGCUCGCCACUGGAAAUCCCCCCAAGGUUGUAGCUGCCAAUCAGUCAAUCUGCCACGUGGCUCAGACUCCGCUCCACCAUGACUGCGUCCACCUGUAGGAGACACAAAGUCCAGGAAGGCUGGUCACUGCUGGACUGCUGCUCCAAUUCAUGGAGUGCAGAUGGCAUGGGAGAGGCAGCAUGCUUCCCUUGAGUGCUCAGGCCACUUUCAGACUCACCAUACCCUAGGGAGAACAUGCCUAUUAACGAUAAAACCCAAUUUGGUCUAAGUCAUAAUAUAAUACAUGUGUCAGGUUAAAAUAAAUAACUGUUUUUCAAAAGUC